rnacentral:rRNA from 1 species
AUUGAACGCUGGCGGCAGGCCUAACACAUGCAAGUCGAGCGGAUGAAGGGAGCUUGCUCCUGGAUUCAGCGGCGGACGGGUGAGUAAUGCCUAGGAAUCUGCCUGGUAGUGGGGGAUAACGUCCGGAAACGGGCGCUAAUACCGCAUACGUCCUGAGGGAGAAAGGGGGGGAUCUUCGGACCUCACGCUAUCAGAUGAGCCUAGGUCGGAUUAGCUAGUUGGUGGGGUAAAGGCCUACCAAGGCGACGAUCCGUAACUGGUCUGAGAGGAUGAUCAGUCACACUGGAACUGAGACACGGUCCAGACUCCUACGGGAGGCAGCAGUGGGGAAUAUUGGACAAUGGGCGAAAGCCUGAUCCAGCCAUGCCGCGUGUGUGAAGAAGGUCUUCGGAUUGUAAAGCACUUUAAGUUGAGAGGAAGGGCAGUAAGUUAAUACCUUGCUGUUUUGACGUUACCAACAGAAUAAGCACCGGCUAACUUCGUG